UUUUUAUUGUCCUCAUGUCCAACGACAAAAGAACCAAGCCCACCCUUAUAAAAACUCAGCCAAACCUUUCGAAACAAACCCUCUCUCCCCCUUUCAUGUGAAGGCCUCCUUUAUUUGGUGGGCGGCCAUCCUUUUUGCCAGGCAAAAGGGUGGUCGUCCCUCACUGGAGAUGGUAAGGAAAAUGGCCAUUGAUUCUUCUGUUGGUGGUGGGUUUUCUGGUUGGAAAGGGCAACUUCUAUCCUUUGGCAUUUUCAAUUUCCCUUUGAGUCGGCACUUAAUGGGCUCAAGGAAAUAAUAAUUUGAAGAGAAAUCUCAAGUGCAAGGCAGAUUAUAUUUAUCCUAUCUCUACUUAGUUUUUAUUGAACUUUCAAUAAAUAUUGUUGUGUGUGUUUUUGUUAGCUAGCUACUUAUGUUCAUGUUUUUGUAUUAGGCCUCUUGCCCAAAUAAGAGUAUUGUGUUUGUUCUAAUGCUUAAGACUGUCUAAUAGGCUGAUUUUGUCAUACCAUUAUGUUUCUCACGAAGUUGAAGUUAAUUACUGAUAAAUCUAUAUGAUAGCUAUUAUAAUUGAUAACAUGAUAAGAUUUUAUCACAGAUACUAUAUAUAUUCCUACAUUAUUUUAUAUUUUUUGUGUAUAUGAUUUAGAUCUUAUUGGAUUAUUGUCUGAAGUUGGGGUGUAUAUUAUUUGGUAAGGCAUACGUCAUUUAUGUAGGCUGUAAUGUAUCACAUUGAUAAAACAUAGAACCUUAUUUUUAAAGAAAGGGUUAAUAAAUGCCUUUAUCUCGUUUAUCUCCCAGUAAACGAAGCAACAGGCAGAACUCGACUAGUUCAAAUUUUCAGCAAGAAUCAAUUUGUCAUGUAAUUUCAAAUUAAAAACGUCAAUGAAAUAUAAAAUGGAGCCAAAAAUUUUCAACAUUUUCCACCAAGAAUUAUCUUAUAAAAGAAGGUUUAGUUUGAAAUAAAAAUGGAAACAAGACAAAAUAAUCAAAUCUCAUCACAUAACAAGUAGUACGUGGACUACUAGAGAAGUGAAACACCAAUUUGAGAUGGAUUAAUUCAAUUGCAUUGAAAAAUAAAUAUAAACACAUAUUCUAACACUAUUUACUUCAAUGACAAUUUUUUUUAAAAAAAUAUUUAUUCUUGAAAUUUAAAAAUAUUAAUAUUUUUGACCAUAAAAAAAGACAAAAAAAUCAGAUAAAAUGGACUGGAAGGAGUACUAUACUAUUGGUCUUGAAGAGGAGAUAUAUAUGUUCUCAAUUUCUGCCACGAAACCUCGAUUCGUGGGAGUAAAUUCAGGAAAAAUAUCAUGACUUAUUAUUUUAAGAUCAAAAUUUCUAAUAGUAUUUUAAUACUAUGUGCUAAAAGGCUUUUUUUUUAAGUAAAAAAAAAUUCUCUAGUCAAUCAAACAAUGCCAUAUAGAUUGAAACGAAACUAAUAUUAUAUUGUGUUAAAAAAAGUUUUAAUUUUCACUUUUUAACUUACUAAUUGUAGGCUAGUACAAAUGUACAAUUCUAUGCCUUACAUGCUACAAAUUGCAAUAAGUAUCUAGUGAAAAAGAUAAUAUCAUUUUGUAAAGUUCUAGGCAAUUCUUAUAUCGUCAAAUUAUGGGAAGAGAUGUUAUUAGAUAAACUAGUCUUAGGAUAUGCACGAAAUGCGCGUACCUUAUAUCAAUAAGAAUAAGCUUUUUAAAAGUAACAUAAAAUAUAUUCAAAAAACAUAUUUACGUUAUAAAAUAAAAAUUAUUAAAAAAUAUGAACUCUUGAAAAUGAUAAAUGUUAAUCAUGUUUGAGUUUGGUUCGCUCUCGUCAUUCUUCCUUUUGUUCCAUUACUUAUUUUAUUGUACAAAAAUAUUAGGUAUAACAUUAAGUAAUGAAUAUUAAUUGCAUCUAGCUCUGUAAAGGGAAAAAGUAAGGAGUUGUUAUUCGUUGAAAUAAAUGCAAGAAAAUAAUAGUAGUAGUAGUGGUGGUGGUGGUGGCGGCGACAGUGGUAGUAAUGGUGGUGGUGGUGGUGGUAGUGGUGGUGGUGGUGGUAGUGGUCGUAGUCGUAGUCGUCGUCGUCGUCGUCGUCGUCGUAGUAGUAGUAGUAGUAGUAAUAGUAGUAAUAGUAGUGGUAGUGUCACUGAAGGGCAUGAACUAGUAGUAGUAGUAGUGGUAGUGUCACUGAAGGGCAUGAAGUCUGAAAACUCUCUCGGUGCACGGUAAGCUAAACGUACGCCAUCCAUAGGAAGGAGAGCAAAGAUAUCAAUCCCUGUAUCCGAAUCGACUCAGAAAGAGGUGGGACGAGUAGCUAAUCCAUCGUUUCAUGUUGAAAUCCAAAACACAUGGGGAAAAUUAUGGGCAAUUGCUGAAAUAAUUGGGUAUGGAACUUGGUCUUCGGAAGCGGUGAUACCAGGUCCUUCAAUACAUGCAAACAAUUCAACAAAGAAUCGGUUGGCUGAAUGGGAGAAAUCUAUACAAUCAUCAGGGGAUAGGAGGAAAUUAUCAUGGGCCGAUGAAGUUGAACUUAAGGAGAAGCAAUCAACUCAAUUGCCGUCUUUUGUCUCAGAGUAUUGAGGGGUAUAAAAUGUUCUAAGUAGUUAAGAAGUUAAAGUUGCUUAAACAACAGUUGAAGACCUUACAUAUGGACCAUUCUGGUUAGAUUAUGUGGCAUUCUUGGGACAUGUAGUAUCAAGCGAGAGUAUUAAGGUAGAUGCCAAGAAGAUCAAGGUAGUUCAGAGUUGGCCUCGUCCUACCACGGCAACUGAGAUUAGGAGCUUCCUGGGGUUAACAGUUAUUAUCGUCGGUUCGUGGACGGUUUCUCAUCUAUUGCAACACCUUUGACUAGAUUGACCUAGAAUGGUGCUCUUUUCCGAUGGUCUGAUGAUUGUGAGACAAGCUUUUAGAAGCUCAAGACCGUAUUGACUUUAACACCAGUGUUAGUGUUGCCUUCCGGUUCAGGGAUGUAUACUGUGUAUUCUGACGCUUCACGUGUUAGUUUGGGUUGUGUAUUGAUGUAGGAGGGGUGAGUUAUUGCAUAUGCUUCACGUCAGCUGAAGCCCCAUGAGAAGAACUACCUUGUACACGAUUUGGAGUUGUUUGUGAUUGUUCAUGCACUUAAGAUCUAGAGGCAUUAUCUUUAUAGGGUAUCCUGUGAGGUUUACUCCGAUCAUCGCAGCUUGCAGAAUUUGUUCAGGCAGAGGGAUCUCAAUUUGAGGCAGUGCAGGUGGCUCGAGUUACUAAAAGAUUAUGAUAUUACCAUCCUUUAUCAUCUGGGCAAGGCGAGUGUAGUUGCAGAUGCCUUGAGCAGAAAGGAGGAGAGUAUGGGUAGUUUGGCAUUCAUUUCAGUGGAGGAGAGGCCACUAGCUUUGGACAUUCAGUCCUUGGCUAACAGAAUUGUGAGGUUGGAUAUUUUAGAGCCCAGUAGAGUUCUUGCAUGCGUUGUCGCCCAGUCUUCACUAUUCGAGCAGAUCAAGGCUCGCCAAUUUGAUGAUCUGCACCUGUUGGUUCUCAGAGAGACGGUACUGCGGGGUGGUGCCAAGGAGGUUACUAUCGGGGAGGAUGGUGUUCUGCGACUCCAGGGUCGCCUAUGUGUUCCAAAUGUUGAUGGCUUGAGGGAGAAUAUCCUAGAGGAGGCACACAAUUCUCGGUAUUCUAUUCAUCCAGGUGCUAUGAAGAUGUAUCGCGACUUGAGGCAGCAUUAUUGGUAGCGGCAAAUGAAGAAGGACAUAGUUGAGUAUGUAGCGAGGUGCCUUAAUUUCCAGCAAGUUAAGUAUGAGCAUCAGAGGCCAGGUGGCCUACUCAAGAUGACUAUACCUGAGUGGAAAUGGGAGCGCAUUACUAUGGACUUCGUAGUUGGGUUGCCGCAGACCUUGCAGAAGUUUGAUGCAGUUUGGGCCAUUAUCGACAGGUUGACCAAGUCGGCAAACUUUAUUCCAGUUGUUACCACGUAUUCUUCAGAGAGGUUGGCUCAGAUUUACAUUCAUGGGAUUGUUCGGUUGCACGGUGUGCCUGUCUCCAUUAUAUCAGAUAGAGGCCCUCUGUUUACUUUGCAUUUCAGGAAGUGAGUUGGGGACCCGGGUAGAGCUCAUCGCAGCCUUUCAUUUGCAGACCGACAGGCAGUCGGAGCGGACAAUUCAGAUCUUGGAGGAUAUGCUCAGAGCAUGUGUGAUUGACUUCGCAAGGCAAUGGGAUCGAUUCUUUCCUUUGGCCAAGUUUGCUUACAACAACAGUUAACAGUCGAGCAUCGAGAUGGCUCCAUUUGAGACUUUAUAUGGUCGGCGAUGUCGUUCGCCCAUCGGAUGGUUUGAGCCCAGUGAGGCUAAGUUAUACGGUACUGAUUUAGUGAAGGAUGCCUUAGAAAAGGUAAAGUUGAUUCAGGAGCGGCUUCGCACAGCACAGUCCAGACAAAAGAGUUACGUAGAUCAGAAGGCGCGUGAUUUAUCAUUUAUGGUGGGCGAGAAAGUUCUCUUGAAAGUCUCGCUAAUGAAGGGAAUCAUGUGGUUUGGGAAGAAGGGCAAGUAGAGCCCAAGGUUUACAGGUCCAUUUGAGUUGUUGAGACGAGUUGGGGAGGUUGCUUAUGAGAUUGCUUUGCCUCCUAGUCUAUCGGGAGUUCAUCCGGUUUUCCUCGUGUCUAUGCUCUGGAGGUAUCACGCCAACAGGUCGCAUGUGUUAGACUUCAUCACGAUUCAGCUAGAUGCGAGCCUGGGUUAUGAGGAGGAGCCAGUUGCCAUUGUUGACAGGCAGGUUUUCCAGUUGAGGUCCAAGAAGAUUUCUGUGAUAAACGUUUAGUGGAGGGGCCAACCAGUCGAGGAGGCGACUUGGGAUGUCGAGGAGGAUAUGUGGAGCAGAUAUCCACACAUAUUCAGCACUCCAGGUAUGAUUCUAGACCCGUUCGAGGAUGAAUGUUUGUUUAAGAGGUGGAGAAUGUAACGACCCGACCGGUCGUUUUUCUUUCUAGAUCCUUGUUCCCCUAAAUAAGACUCCCCAUAUGUGCUUUUACUAUUUUAUGCUUAGUUCGGGAUUUGGAAGGGUUCAUGAUGAAAUCGGAAUACUUGGUUCCUUAGUUUGGCUUUUAAAAGGCCAAGUUUGACUUUGGUCAACAUUUUGAGUAACUGACCUCGAAACUAGGAUUUGAUGGUUCCAAUAGGUUCGUAUGAUUAUUUUGGACUUGGGAGUACAUUCAUAUCGGGUUUUGGAUGACCCGGGAGAGUUUCAACGCUUAAUGUUGGAAGUUGGCUUAUUGAAGGUUUAAACGUCCUUUGAAUUUGGUUUGUAGUAGGUUUUGGUGUUAUCAAGGCCUGUUUAGGAUUCCGAUCCUGGGAAUAGUACCGUAUGGUGGUUCAAGACUUGCACUCAAAAUUUGGUGCCAUUCCGAGUAGUUUAAGUACGAAUCGACGCGUUCAGAGUAAGUUGGAAGAAUUUGAAGUUCAUAAGUUGAUCCUAUUGGUUUUGGGUUGCGAUUCUUAGUUUUAAUGCGGUUUGCCAUGUUCCAAGGGUGGGAGCGAGUCCGUUUUAUGUUUAGAAACUUGUUUGUAUGUUUGAACAAGCCCUCGGGGGCCUCGGGUGAAAUCCAAAUGAUGCACAUAUUGAAUUAGGACACAAAAGGCCUGCUGGUGCACUAGUUCUGGUGUGCCCGCACCUACGAGCUUUUGGCCGCAAGUGCGAGCCCGCAAAUUUGUGAUUUUGGCCACAGAAGCGUCUUUGGGUCAACUGGCCAGUGGUCCACAGAAGCGGAGAAGCACAUGCCGCUUCUGCGAUGGAUCAACCGCAGGUACGAAGGGGCCGCAAAUACGCUUCGCCGUCCGUAUAAGUGGGACCGCAGAAGCGAGGUCCCGUCCGCAGAAGCGGCCAGCGCUGGGCCUGUGGAAUUCCACAGAAGCAGACUAAGUUCCAUAGAAGCGGUACCGCAUAUACGGCCUAGGGACCACAAAUGCGACCCAGGGACCGCAGAUGCGAAAGUCCUGCAGGGCAGAACCUUCAUUUAAGUCUGGACUCAAACAUUUUGGUUUCAUUUAUUGCAUUCUUUGGGCGAUAUUUGGAUCUCUUAGAGAGGGGUUUUCACUCGCUAUUUGAGGUAAGUAAUUUCUAUUCAAUGUAAGUUAAAUACAUAUAUUAUGGGUAGAUUUUAACAUGUAAAUUUGUGAAAAUUAUGAGUUUAGAUGAAUAACCUUAGGUUUUGAUACAAAUUGGAUUUACCCACGAAAAUGAUUAUGGCAUUGAGUGAAAAUUAUAUAUUUGAGUUUGUGAGGUUAUGGGUAACAACUUUCUUCAAAAAAUUUCGGAAUCCGGGCACAUGGGCAGGGGGUGAAUUUUAAGAAUCUUCGAAUUUGGGUUGGGUAAUUACUCUAAUAGCUAAAUGAUUAACUUUUGAACGUAUAUUAAUUAAUUUAUACGAUAUUUGAUUAGUUUCAGAUUGUUCGACAUCGAGUUGAGGCUUUAGGGUGAAUUUGAGGCAGGAAAGCAAGCAUUGAGACGAGGUAAGUCUCUUGCCUAACUUUGUAAGAGGGAAUUUACCCAAUAGGAGAUUUAAAUUGCUAUUCGCUUCUAAUUAUGGGGGCUACGUACGCACGAGGUGACGAGAGUCCGUGCGUAGCUACUAACUAUGCUUAUGUCCGAGUAGUUUAGGACCCGAAUCAUGAAAUACUUGUAAUGUUUGCACCCUACAUGUUAAUUAAAGCGCACAGAUUUUAUCAGAACUUGUUAGAGGAAUUGUAAAAGACCGAAUUUCACUUACUUGAGUUUUGGCGGGUUACUUGACCGUUUAUAAAAUUGUGUUUCGUUGUACAUUAGCCUUGUACUAGCUCUUAAAUCAGCUGUUUAUAAAGUAUCCUCUCUUCUGGUUGAGCGGAUGGAAUGCCUCGACAGUAGAUAAAUGCAUCUAUGGUUCAUGCCGCUCGACCCUUGGUAGUGUUUACAUUAUUCUGGAUCGGGCCGUACGACCUCAGCAUAAUCGUACGUGAUAACACUCGAAGUGUAAUUAUAUGUUUGAUAUUUUUCCCUGGCUUGAGAGGCUAAAAAUUAUAUAAGACAGAAAUUUAUUUGGGAAUUACCAUGCGAGAAAGAAUUAUUUACUUUCUGCUUGUUAUUGAGUUAUUAUUAUUAUUUACAUAGCCCAUGCUUAUUCAGAAUUCUGUAUUUCUUUAAUGUUCGCCCAAAGUAAGUGUCGAUGUCGACCCCUCGUCACUACUUCUUCGAGGUUAGACUUGAUACUUACUGGGUAGAUGUUGUUUAUUUACUCACGCUACACUUCUGCACUAACCGUACUGGAUCUGAGGCAGGUGCAUCUGGCGGUCACAUCCCUGAUAGCCUGAGGCCUAGUGGUGAGUUGCUUCCUGAGCCAUUCUACAGCACCUAGAGCCCUUUUCUUUUGUACUUAUUUUUUGUCUAUGUUAUUUCAGACAGUAGAUAGCGUUUUGUAUAUUCUACUAGUGCUCAUACACUUGUGACACCAGGUCUUGGCACACACUCUAGUAGACUUUAUGGUUUUGGAGUAUUUAUAUAUCUAUGAUUGCACUUAGUUGCUUUCGUUUUAUUUAUUAAACUUUCUACUUCUUAAAUCUCUUAAUAAAUGGAAUUUAAUUACUUGAAAACCUAUUGAAAGAAUUAAUCACGUAGCUAGUUCACCGUUGUCUUGCCUAGCGGCAACGUUGGGCGCCAUCACGACGUAUAUGAGAAAUUGGGUCGUGACAUAUUUAGCCUAAUUUCACCUAAUUACUUGUCUUAUAUCUUAUUUUCAACUUGUACUACAUGCUUAGUUGAAUUACCUGCUUUCUUGAUUCCAUAUUCUUUAUUUAACUGUGAGAUUCUUUACUUGAAAUUUCUAUCCUUGAAGUAUCAUUGUUUCAGUUGUUGUAUUUUGGUUUCCGUGAUUAUUGUUGAGAUGAUUGUUUGGUUGUUGCACAUGGUUUCUGCCAUGCAGUUGUUAUUGUUGUCGGAGGUUUCUAUCAUGCGGUUGUUAUUAUUUGCACAUGGUUUCUGCCGUGCCAUUGUGAUUAUUGAUACGCAUGUGGUGGUAUAAGAUCUGGGUGUUGAAACGUAUGCAGUGAGAUAAGGUGGGGUUGAUACGCAUGGCUAGUAGGGGAACUACUAGAAGUCAUGCAAUAUGAUAAGGUUGGCUAAAACGCGGGAUGCUAUUUCGGGAAAAUAAUUUUCAAAACAAAAUAUUAAGGCCCCCGCGGUGAUAUAAGGAAAGAUUGUGAGAUAUUUACUUUUGAGACUAUGAGGCAGUACCUUGGGUGUGCCCCUGUUGAUUUCCUCUAUUUGCUGUAUUAGUUGUCUUUCCUUAACUUGUAAGCUUUUUGCUUUCCUUUCAUGUUGUAUUUGUCUUUCUUUGAUUCCGUAUUAUUACCUUCCGUAAAUUCUCAUUGUUUCACUUCUCUGUCAUUUAUUUAUAUUAUUUUAUCUUCUGCCUUCUUUUUUUUUUCCAGUAGGGCCCUGACCUGACCUCGUUACUACUCUACCGAGGUUAGGCUUGGCACCUACUGGGUACCGUUGUGGUGUACUCAUACUAUGCUUCUGCACCUUUUUUUGUGCAGAUCCGGGUACUACCAACCAGACCAGGUACCCGUGAGCUAGUCCGUACGUGGAGGCUUCAAGGUACAUCUUCCAGCGUCCGCAGACCUCGGAGUCCCCCUCUGUCUUUAUUAUGUUGUUCUUAUUCUCAUUAUACUCUAAUGUAUAGGGAUACAUAGUAUUUCUCUUUAUAGCUUUUGACUUAUAUCUACCGGGUUUUGGGAGCUGUUUAUACUUGAGUUACAGAUUUUAUUUAUUACCGUUGUUGACAUUUGAAUUUUAGCUUAAUAUUUCAGUUAUUCCUCAUACCUGUUAGGCUUAUCUAGUCUUAGAGACUAAGUGCUGUCACGACAUCAGAGCUCUAGGUUCAUAGGUGUUAUGAGUUACAAGCAGGUUUAGUAGAGUCUUGCGGAUCAGUACGGAGAUAUCUGUAGUUAUCUUCGGGAGGCUAUGGAACUGUUAGGAAAAGCUUCACUUCUUUGAUUCCUUAUCGUGCGAAAUAUUUGACUUCGGAUUCAAAAUUUCUGUCUUUCUAUUCUCUCACAGAUGGUAAGGACACGUACAGCUGGAUCAAAUGACUAGACACCCGCACCUCCUGUUAGAGCCGCGAGAGGUCGGGGCUAGGUUAGAGACUGAGGACGUCCAUGCGGUGCAGCCAGAGCACCCACACGAGCUGCUACAAAGGAGCCACCAAUAGCUCAAGUUGGAGGGCAGGAACCUGAGAUGCCUGUUAGUGCACCAGCCCUCCAGGAGACUCUCGCCCAGUUUCUGAGCAUGUUCAGCACUUUGGCUCAGGCAGGGUUGAUACCACUUGCUCCUGCCACAUCUCAGGCCAGGGGAUGAGCAUAGACUCCCGCCACCCAUACACAGAGCAGCGGGUCCAGGUCGACCAGUUUCCAGAAGUCAUACCAAUGCAGCCGGUAGCCCCAGGUCAGCCCGAGGUUAGGACAACAGUUUUUGAGGAGGAGUAGCUCAGGCUCGAGAGGUACAAGAAGUACCACCCUCCUAAUUUUAGUGGCUUGGCGUCAAAGGAUGCCCAGGGUU
rnacentral:lncRNA from 1 species